rnacentral:rRNA from 1 species
AACGAACGCUGGCGGCAGGCCUAACACAUGCAAGUCGAGCGAGGACUUCGGUUCUAGCGGCGGACGGGUGAGUAACGCGUGGGAAUGUGCCCUUCUCUACGGAAUAGCCCUGGGAAACUGGGAGUAAUACCGUAUACGCCCUAUUGGGGAAAGAUUUAUCGGAGAAGGAUCAGCCCGCGUUGGAUUAGGUAGUUGGUGGGGUAAUGGCCUACCAAGCCGACGAUCCAUAGCUGGUUAGAGAGGAUGAUCAGCCACACUGGGACUGAGACACGGCCCAGACUCCUACGGGAGGCAGCAGUGGGGAAUCUUAGACAAUGGGGGCAACCCUGAUCUAGCCAUGCCGCGUGAGUGAUGAAGGCCUUAGGGUUGUAAAGCUCUUUCAGCUGGGAAGAUAAUGACGGUACCAGCAGAAGAAGCCCCGGCUAACUCCGUG